CGUUCAGAUAUAGCUCAUUCAAAUACUUCGAUUCAGAUGUAGUUUAUAUGUUCACCUAACAACUUGGGUGUAUACCUGACAAACUAAACUGAACUCCUGAUAAAAAAAUCCGAACACCUAAUCAACAUAAUCUGUACACCUGGCAAAAUUAGCUGAACACUUGACUAACUAAGAUGAAUACCUCUGAAACUCACCUGAAAACUAUCAAACAGAUCUGUAUACCUGACUACUUAAGCAAAAG
rnacentral:lncRNA from 1 species